GAAGAAUCUUUAUUAAGCUUUAUCAUUAUAUGCUUGGAAAACACUAAUUCGAGAUUAAUAAUGAUUCAAAGACAAGUAUAUAUGCUUGCUCAUAUAAUUGACCAAUUCCGAAAAGAAAGCAGAUUUAAAAAUGAGAUAAUUAAAAUGUGUUAAAAGAAAAAUCCUCUGGCUGUGAGUAAAGAUAGAUCUCACUAGGGUCUCCAGAUGUGUGUUGAAU
rnacentral:misc_RNA from 1 species